AUCUUGGUUUCCCAUGGUAACUGCUUUUUAUUAUGACAACUGACAAAGCCCCAGCUUCACAGAGAUGUGAAGUCAUGGAAAGAAUGCAGUGUGAAUUAGUUUUGAAACUGUGAGCUCUCCCAAGUUCGUAGCUUACACAACGCCUGAACAGAUAUUGAGUCUAGCUGCUUCCCUUGAAUCUUGAUGUCUCCCCCAGUGUCUUCAUGACUCCUCUUCAGCAACCUGGGGUGCCUCCAGCCUCUCCUUCCCUGCUCAUCGCUUUAUGGUCAUUUACGCAUUGCCUCGCAUCGCUUAACAACGGGGAGACGGUCUGAGAAACAUGUCAGCAGUGCCAGAGCAGGCCCUGCUCGAGGUCCUGCUGGAGCCCUGUCUCCGGGCCCGGCCGCAGCAGGUGGAAAGGGAGUGGAGUCACUCUUAGCUGAAGCAGGAAGAGAACAACACCACGUGGGUAUUGCUAUCAUCCUCAUUCGGCAGAACCAGGAACGAGCGACAGAGGCUCCGUGUUACUGAAUCUUUGCUACGUGCCGGUCAUCACACUAAGAAAAUAACUUGCAAUAUCUCAUCUAAUCCUGAUGCGACCUGGUGACUUAUAUAUUACUAUCCUUUUACCAAUGAGGAAACUGAGGCUUGGAGAGCUCGAGGAGCAAGUCCAAAGUGGAACAGCCCGCGUGUGUGGAGCUGGGGCUUUGAGGCCAGGCCCGUGUCCUGCGAGGCCUCCCCAGACCCCGGACACAACACGAGUCGCAGAUGCUCAUGGUCCUCCGUGCAAACCCUGGGAGGAGAAGGUGACCACGGAUAGGACUCGUGUGCCACCUGAACAGUUGUUCCCAAAUUCCUCCUGUCUCUCUCCCUGGCUGUGUAGUCCCCACCUUUCAUGUUAGGUGUAGGAUCCCUCACUUUCUACGACCUCAGAACCUCCUGAAAAUGAAAAUGAUAAACCAACAAGCUUACCGUUUAUACAAUGCCAGCCACACAUUGAAAGCUCA
rnacentral:lncRNA from 1 species